UGAAAUCCCCGGGCUUAACCUGGGAACUGCAUUCGAAACUGGCAGGCUAGAGUCUUGUAGAGGGGGGUAGAAUUCCAUGUGUAGCGGUGAAAUGCGUAGAGAUCUGGAGGAAUACCGGUGGCGAAGGCGACCCCCUGGACUGAGACUGACGCUCAGGUGCGAAAGCGUGGGGAGCAAACAGGAUUAGAUACCCUGGUAGUCCACGCCGUAAACGAUGUCUACUUGGAGGUUGAGCCCUUGAGGCCUGGCUUCCGGAGCUAACGCGUUAAGUCGACCGCCUGGGGAGUACCGCCGCAAGGUUAAAACUCCAAUGAAUUGACGGGGGCCCGCACAAGCGGUGGAACAUGUGGUUUAAUUCCAAGCAACGCGAAAAACCUUACCUACUCUUGACAUCCAGAGAACUUUCCAGAGAUGCAUUGGUGCCUUCCGGAACUCUGACACAGGUGCUGCAUGGCUGUCGUCAGCUCGUGUUGUGAAAUGUUGGGUUAAGUCCCGCAACGAGCGCAACCCUUAUCCU
rnacentral:rRNA from 1 species